AGCGAACGCUGGCGGCAGGCCUAACACAUGCAAGUCGAGCGCCCAGCAAUGGGAGCGGCAGACGGGUGAGUAACGCGUGGGGAUGUACCCAAUGGUACGGAAUAACCCAGGGAAACUUGGAUUAAUACCGUAUGAGCCCUUCGGGGGAAAGAUUUAUCGCCAUUGGAUCAACCCGCGUCGGAUUAGCUAGUUGGUGAGGUAAAGGCUCACCAAGGCGACGAUCCGUAGCUGGUCUGAGAGGAUGAUCAGCCACACUGGGACUGAGACACGGCCCAGACUCCUACGGGAGGCAGCAGUGGGGAAUAUUGGACAAUGGGCGCAAGCCUGAUCCAGCCAUGCCGCGUGAGUGAUGAAGGCCUUAGGGUUGUAAAGCUCUUUCGCCGGUGAAGAUAAUGACGGUAACCGGAGAAGAAGCCCCGGCUAACUUCGUGCCAGCCGCCGCCGUAACAC
rnacentral:rRNA from 1 species